rnacentral:rRNA from 1 species
UACGUAGGGGGCAAGCGUUGUCCGGAAUCAUUGGGCGUAAAGAGCGUGUAGGCGGCUCGGUAAGUCCGCUCUGAAAGCCCGGGGCUCAACCCCGGGAGGCGGGCGGAUACUGUCGGGCUAGAGUCCGGAAGAGGAGAGUGGAAUUCCUGGUGUAGCGGUGAAAUGCGCAGAUAUCAGGAAGAACACCCGUGGCGAAGGCGGGUCUCUGGACAGUUCCUGACGCUGAGGCACGAAGGCCAGGGGAGCAAACGGG